rnacentral:rRNA from 1 species
UGGCCAGACUCCUACGGGAGGCAGCAGUAGGGAAUCUUCCACAAUGGACGCAAGUCUGAUGGAGCAACGCCGCGUGAGUGAAGAAGGUUUUCGGAUCGUAAAGCUCUGUUGUUGGUGAAGAAGGAUAUAGGUAGUAACUGGCCUAUAUUUGACGGUAAUCAACCAGAAAGUCACGGCUAACUACGUGCCAGCAGCCGCGGUAAUACGUAGGUGGCAAGCGUUGUCCGGAUUUAUUGGGCGUAAAGCGAGCGCAGGCGGAGAAAUAAGUCUGAUGUGAAAGCCCACGGCUCAACCGUGGAACUGCAUCGGAAACUGUUUUUCUUGAGUGCAGAAGAGGAGAGUGGAAUUCCAUGUGUAGCGGUGGAAUGCGUAGAUAUAUGGAAGAACACCAGUGGCGAAGGCGGCUCUCUGGUCUGCAACUGACGCUGAGGCUCGAAAGCAUGGGUAGCGAACAGGAUUAGAUCCCCUAGUA